AAGGCUCUUCUUCUUCUUUUACAACGGUUUCAACUUUUUCAAUUGUUAGCUCAUCUGCUGCUUCUUCUUUCUUUAUUGAUGGUUUUCUUGUAGGUUCGAUUUUUACAUCAACCGUUUCAGAUAUCUCCUGAACUUCUUCGGGCGUUUCUUUUAUUUCUUUUAUCGUAAAAACUUCUUCAGUUACUUCCUGUUCUUUAGGAGUUUCAACUUUUUUCUUUGGACGUUUAAUAGCAACCAAAGUUUCCUCGGGAGAUUUCUCUUUAGUUUCUUUUUUAAGAGAAGAUUUUCGUUUUGGUUUUAAUUUAACUUCAACCUCCUCUGAAGGCUCUUCUUCUUCUUUUACAACGGUUUCAACUUUUUCAAUUGUUAACUCAUCUGCUGAUUCUUCUUUCUUUAUUGAUGGUUUUCUUGUAGGUUCAAUUUUUACAUCAACUGUUUCAGAUAUCUCCUGAACUUCUUCAGGCGUUUCUUUUAUUUCUUUUAUCGUAAAAACUUCUUCAGUUACUUCCUGUUCUUUAGGAGUUUCAACUUUUUUCUUUGGACGUUUAAUAGCAACCAAAGUUUCCUCGGGAGAUUUCUCUU